rnacentral:rRNA from 1 species
GACGGACGCUGGCGGCGUGCUUAACACAUGCAAGUCGAACGGAAAGGCCCUGCUUUUGUGGGGUGCUCGAGUGGCGAACGGGUGAGUAACACGUGAGUAACCUGCCCUUGACUUUGGGAUAACUUCAGGAAACUGGGGCUAAUACCGGAUAGGAGCUCCUGCUGCAUGGUGGGGGUUGGAAAGUUUCGGCGGUUGGGGAUGGACUCGCGGCUUAUCAGCUUGUUGGUGGGGUAGUGGCUUACCAAGGCUUUGACGGGUAGCCGGCCUGAGAGGGUGACCGGCCACAGUGGGACUGAGAUACGGCCCAGACUCCUGCGGGGGGCAGCAGUGGGGAAUAUUGCACAAUGGGCGGAAGCCUGAUGCAGCAACGCCGCGUGCGGGAUGACGGCCUUCGGGUUGUAAACCGCUUUCGCCUGUGACGAAGCGUGAGUGACGGUAAUGGGUAAAGAAGCCCCGGCUAACUACG